CUGGCGACAGGCCUAACACAUGCAAGUCGAGCGCAGUCCUUCGGGACCGAGCGGCGGACGGGUUAGUAACGCGUGGGAACAUACCCCUUUCUACGGAAUAGCCUCGGGAAACUGAGAGUAAUACCGUAUAAGCCCUUCGGGGGAAAGAUUUAUCGGGAAGGGAUUGGCCCGCGUUAGAUUAGAUAGUUGGUGGGGUAAUGGCCUACCAAGUCUACGAUCUAUAGCUGGUUUUAGAGGAUGAUCAGCAACACUGGGACUGAGACACGGCCCAGACUCCUACGGGAGGCAGCAGUGGGGAAUCUUAGACAAUGGGCGCAAGCCUGAUCUAGCCAUGCCGCGUGUGUGAUGAAGGUCUUAGGAUCGUAAAGCACUUUCGCCAGGGAUGAUAAUGACAGUACCUGGUAAGAAACCCCGGCUAACUCCGUGCCAGCAGCCGCGGUAAUACGGAGGGGGUUAGCGUUGUUCGGAAUUACUGGGCGUAAGCGUACGUAGGCGGAUCAGAAAGUAGGGGGUGAAAUCCCAGGGGCUCAACCCCGGAACUGCCUCUUAAACUCCUGGUCUUGAGUUCGAGAGAGGUGAGUGGAAUUCCAAGUGUAGAGGUGAAAUUCGUAGAUAUUUGGAGGAACACCAGUGGCGAAGGCGGCUCACUGGCUCGAUACUGACGCUGAGGUACGAAAGUGUGGGGAGCAAACAGGAUUAGAUACCCUGGUAGUCCACACCGUAAACGAUGAAUGCCAGUCGUCGGGCAGUAUACUGUUCGGUGACACACCUAACGGAUUAAGCAUUCCGCCUGGGGAGUACGGUCGCAAGAUUAAAACUCAAGGAAAUUUUGACGG
rnacentral:rRNA from 1 species